AUUGAACGCUGGUGGCAUGCUUAACACAUGCAAGUCGAACGGUAACAGGUCUAGCUUGCUAGAUGCUGACGAGUGGCGGACGGGUGAGUAACGCGUAGGAAUCUGCCAAUAGGCUGGGGACAACUCAGGGAAACUUGAGCUAAUACCGGAUAAUACCUGAGGGUUAAAGGUUGCAACUUGUUGCAGUCGCCUAUUGAUGAGCCUGCGUUGGAUUAGCUAGUUGGUAAGGUAAAGGCUUACCAAGGCGACGAUCCAUAGCUGUUCUGAGAGGAAGAUCAGCCACACUGGGACUGAGACACGGCCCAG
rnacentral:rRNA from 1 species